AAAUACUUUCCUAAAUGUGAAUAAUGUGAGUGGUGUCUGGUUGUUUGUUUGUUUAUUUAUUUAUUUAUUUAUUUAUUUAUUUAUUUGCCUGCUCUCAAAGGACAUUUACUUUGAAAAAUUCAGUAUCUUUAUAGUUCAUUUUUUGAAAUUUGUGGAUGAACGGGAUCAUUGGUUUUGUGAGAUCUCUGUCUAUUGAGCUUAUUGUAUUCGGUUUGUAAGAAAAAGAGACAUGGACACUGAAGGCUUAUGAGCACUUCGACUGCAUUAAUAAGUUCUGGGUGAAGAAAACAAAACGCUAUGGAUGCACCCUCUCUUUCUUUCUCUCUUUUAGAAAGGGGGGGGGGGGUUCUGUUCUAUGUCCUUUCCCAACAUUCCACAAGCAUUACCUCAUUUCCUGGGUCCUUUUGCCUCAAUAGGUUUCCCGGGGUUACCGAUGAUGUCAUGGCAACAGUCUGAAAGACACAAGAGCUGGAAACAAAGCCUCAGAAAGAGAGAAUGGGCUGUGGACUAUGGGCUGAUCCCAAAUCAGACCCUACACCCCAAAAGCCCUUCAGUUAGGUCCCAGCAGAAUGGCUAGAUGUUUUCCCGGCUGUGCUAACGUCAUCUAGCUACAUCUACAAGUUUUCUAACCAUCCCUUGUGGGAAAAUCACAUAUUUGACACGUGAUUAUGUGAGGAUCAACAUUUCGCUGGUGAAUUCAACGAAUAAAGCAAUAACCUUACCGAGGAACCGCAUUGUGUCCUGUUUCAGAAAACAAAACAAAAGCACUGACACUGGAGACUCCUUCAAUACAGGUAUCCUUAAAGAAAACCUUAAUUUUCAUGAUUAAAUAACACUUUUUUUUUAAAUCCAUUUACCAGAUUCAGGUCAUGUGGAGCUUCUACCAUUCAUUCAAGUCCCUGUGAACGAGUCGUCACUAUAGAAACGACAACGUAUUAGAACCAGGGCAUGAAUAUAAACCUCUGGUGAACCUGAUAGGGAUUUCAGUCUACACACAAAUUUGCUCUCAAAAGCUGUGCAGCACAAAGACACCAAGCCCUUUUUCAGCAUUUUUCCCCUGUUACAGUCCUGCCACCUACAGGCGGAACAGGGUAAUGACAUUACAUCACUGAGCUCAGGUUUGCACGUCCAGAUCUUCCACCUGUCCUGAUACUGGAGUACUCCCUGUCCUGAGUGUUUCAGUCUCUUCCCUUGCUCUAAGCCUGGACAUUCAGACACUGAUUGGUUAAACUGGUGCAUUAGAACAGGGAAAACACUCAACUGCGCAGGACAGGGGACGGCAUUCUCCAGAACCAGUCUGGGAACCUGUGCCAACGCUCCGUGUACUGUUUUAACACACCCUUCCCCUCGCCAUUUCCCCUUAACUGACUCUCCAUCACCACUUUAAUGUAGUGUGGUACCCAAUCCUCAUCUUGAACUUUCCCUGCUCUCCUUUUCAGUCCUUUUCCUGCUCUGUGCAGAACAGAGGACCUCUAGUGACCUUGCCCCGCUUGGCGCAAACAGUUGAGCAUUGCUAUAUAGACUUGAUGAAGAAACAGCUACCCAUAAAUCAUUCAAAAAAUUUAUCCUGGAAAAAGAGCUAAAUAAACAAACAAAAGGUGACGCUGUGUGUACAGUAGAUAUAAAUGUUUACACAUGUAAAUCAGGGCACGACAGUAAUAACAUGUUAACAAACAUGUUCAGCUGAUUUGCUGUUUGAAUGAGGUUUUUAUAACCUCGACACGUCUUUAUUCAUUUAUCCUGCUCCCUACUCAGCACACCAUAUAGGAAACAGAAUGUACAGAGUCCCAGUAAAAUCACUUCACCUACAUUAAACUCACUGCCAAGGUCAAGUGAGCUGUGAUAUGCACUUCCUCCUACUUCCUGGCUGUGACAGAAAAUCAACAAGGGUGUGUGUUAAAAACAGCACGGAGAUGUCUUCUGUACUUUUUAGACUGUUUAAAUACUACUAGUCCUAUAGACCCACCCCAUUUACUCAGUAUAUUAAAUGUUGAAGUACUGAUUGGUCAUCUGUCUGAGAGUGUAAGUACAGAGACUGUGAUGCUGGAAGAACAACCCAGCCGAUAACUCUAAAAAAAAUAUAUGCAAAAUGUAGAUUUGUGUGGUAUAGAUGUUUGUUUUUCUGUCUGUAGAAAUUAAAUUCUAGGUUAACUGUAGCAGAGUAAUUUAUUGACAUGUUUUCAGGCAUAGUGUAAAUACUGUAAAUGUAUGAGAGGUUAUAUGAAUUUAUAUCUCUGCUGUCGAGGAACAUCUGUCCAAUCUCUCUCUCUCUCUCUCUCUCUCUCUCUCUCUCAAAUGUGACCUUUUGCAGGUCUGUACUUUAA